rfam:Chlorocebus sabaeus isolate 1994-021 chromosome 20, whole genome shotgun sequence.
GGCUGGUCCAAAUGCAGUGGUUACAACUAACUGAUCACAGCCAGUUACAGAUUUCUUUGUUUCUUCACUCCUACUGCUUCACCUGACUAGCCUAAA